AUUGAACGCUGGCGGCAUGCUCUACACAUGCAAGUCGAACGGUAACAGGCCGCAAGGUGCUGACGAGUGGCGAACGGGUGAGUAAUGCAUCGGCACGUGCCCAGUCGUGGGGGAUAACUACUCGAAAGAGUAGCUAAUACCGCAUACGAUCUAUGGAUGAAAGCGGGGGACCGUAAGGCCUCGCGCGAUUGGAGCGGCCGAUGUCAGAUUAGGUAGUUGGUGGGGUAAAGGCUCACCAAGCCAACGAUCUGUAGCUGGUCUGAGAGGACGACCAGCCACACUGGGACUGAGACACGGCCCAGACUCCUACGGGAGGCAGCAGUGGGGAAUUUUGGACAAUGGGCGCAAGCCUGAUCCAGCAAUGCCGCGUGCAGGAAGAAGGCCUUCGGGUUGUAAACUGCUUUUGUACGGAACGAAACGGCUCUGGUUAAUACCCGGGGCUAAUGACGGUACCGUAAGAAUAAGCACCGGCUAACUACGUG
rnacentral:rRNA from 1 species